rnacentral:rRNA from 1 species
UUACCUGGUCUUGACAUCCCGGAGACCCUUAGGAAACUAGGGGUGCUUCCAUCUGGAAGAAUCUGGAGACAGGUGCUGCAUGGCUGUCGUCAGCUCGUGUCGUGAGAUGUUGGGUUAAGUCCCGCAACGAGCGCAACCCUUGCCUUUAGUUGCCAGCAGUUCGGCUGGGCACUCUAAAGGGACUGCCGGUGUUAAACCGGAGGAAGGUGGGGAUGACGUCAAGUCCUCAUGGCCUUUAUGACCAGGGCUACACACGUACUACAAUGGCCGAUACAAAGGGCAGCGACACUGCGAGGUGAAGCCAAUCCCGUAAAAUCGGUCUCAGUCCGGAUUGGAGUCUGCAACUCGACUCCAUGAAGUUGGAAUCGCUAGUAAUCGUGGAUCAGCAUGCCACGGUGAAUACGUUCCCGGGCCUU